ensembl:lncRNA
CUGGGGUUUAAAAUGGAACUAUUACUUCUGAAUAUUGGAAGUUUCUCAUUAAGUAAGCCAUACAUGUACUUGAUGACCCAGUACUUUUCAGUUCUAGGUAUUUUAUGCAAGAUACACAAAUGUAUGUCAAAAAAACUUGUAUGAGAAUAUUUAGAACAGCUUUAUUCAUAAUUAUUUCAAAUUGCAAACCACCUAAAUGAUCAUUGUCAUGGUCCGUGCAUUUGGGUUAGAAAAAGAAUUUUCCUGAUUCAUAGCAGGGUGAAAAGAAAGAUGAGUUUACUGAGAUAAGAAAUGCUGCUAGCAUAGUGGGAUGACUUCCUGAUGAUCAGAGAGAGCUGAAUCUGAGCGUGUGAUCAUGUCUGUUUUAUAGUCUAGGGGGAGGAAAGGUCUUAGUGUACACUUGCUGAUAGGCUGAUUGGUUAGGGAAAGAGGGUCUUACGAUACACUUGCUGGUUUGUUGGGGGCAUAUAAGGUCCUUAUAGAGGUGGGGGAAGAGUGGGCCUUUCAUAGUAGGGGUCAGGAAGGACUAGGACAGUUGCUCAAGUUGGGAGGGGGCACUACAAUGAGAUGGAUGGGGCAAUGAUAAGGAUCUAGUAAUUCUUUUUGGGGGGUCUAGUAAAUCUUUAAUUUUUUUUUUAACUUUUUUUACUUUUUAGGGCUGCACCCACUGCAUAUGGAAGUUCUCAGGGUGAAAUCAGAGCUGCAGCUGCCAGCCCACACCACAGUAACAGCAACUCAGGAUCUGAGCCAUGUCUGCAACAUACACCACAGCUCACAGCAAUGCUGGAUCCUUAACCCACUGAGCAAGGCCAGGGAUCAAACCUGCAUCCUCUGGAGUUCCCAUUGUGGCACUGCAGAAAUGAAUCUGACUAGGAACCAUAAAGUCCCACAACCAUCAACAGACUAAUUGGAUGCCCAUAACCAAAACAAAACAAAACAAAACAAAAACCCAGCACAACCAGAUCAUCUGAGAAAUCCAUCCAUCACUGCAACCAGAAGAGAGUGGAUCGGACCUUAUCAGUGCCUACAAGAGUCAAGGUAGUCACAGUGGUAACAAUGGCAGUAGAGGCAGCUGGUGGACGAUCCAGCAGAGGUGACUGAAAAUGAAAUUCUCUCUGGCUGCUCUGGUGCAGCUGGAGGGACAUGUUCCUCUUCAUCAGCACCUGGGUUUCUGUAAAGGGACCUCUACGGCUGGGCAGAGGGAAGAAAAAUGAAGAAGGCAGAGAAAGGAAUGUAAACAAACACAUUUGUCUGCCCUGGGAUUUCAGGGCAAGGUUCACCCACCUCUGGGACUCCUCAACUUGAGGAUGUCCCCACUGGUUUGUGUAUACACCCAAAACCCCAAUGUGCCAAGCCCACACCUUCCCUAAUUCUGUCACCAGCCGGUUUUUGUUUUGUUUUGUUUUUGCUUUUUAUUCCUGGAUUAUAGGUACACACCUAACUAUAGCAGCUAGUCAACUGUGGUAAGAGAAACCAAUGAUUGUGCUAUAGUGCCACCUUUUUGAAAACAAAGAAAAAUUUUGAAUUGCCAAUAUAUUGACAUACUAAAUUCAAACUAAACAAAGCUUUCCCUAAAUAAGAAAAGUGUGUGCUGCUUCAGAUGAGAUCAACAAAGCACAUUUUAUAAAAUGCUUUGCAAAGUCAUGGUAAUAUGACAUCACAAAAAGAAAAUGAGUUUUCCAGCAAUUGAUCUCAAAGCCAUGGAAUAUUGUAAUCUAAUUAUUAAAGAAUUCAAAAUAGCUCUUAUUAAGUAAGUCAACAAGGUGCAGGAAAAUUCAGAGGUAUUUCAAAGAACUCAGGAAUAAAAUUAGUAAAAAGAAGGAGUACUUUACCA